rnacentral:rRNA from 1 species
GUGUCAGCCGCCGCGGUAAUACCAGCCCCGCGAGCGGUCGGGGUGCUUACUGGGCCUAAAGCGCCCGUAGCCGGCUCGGCAAGUCUCCCCCUAAAGCCCCGGGCUCAACCCGGGGAGUGGGGGAGAUACUGCCGGGCUAGGGGGCGGGAGAAGGCCGAGGGUACUCCCGGGGUAGGGGCGAAAUCCACUAAUCCCGGGAGGACCAUCAGUGGCGAAGGCGCUCGGCUGGAACGCGCCCGACGGUGAGGGGCGAAAGCCGGGGGAGCGAACCGGAUUAGAUACCCGGGUAGUCC